AGGGUCUGAAUUUGGAGUUGCCCGAGGU
rnacentral:sRNA from 1 species